GAUGUGGACAGGCAGGGCAGGAUGCUCAGAGGAGGCAUGAAUACCGGGGCUGGGCUGGAUCCUCCACUGAUCAACAGUUGGGGACAAGCUGCAGAAAGUACCCAGUCCAGCCCUAGGCCACCAGAGCAAGCCAUCAGAGGGAGAACAGGGUCUGCAAUGAGGAAGACUCAUUGCCUCCUGGGCCCAGGAUAGCAUCUCCCAGAGGGACUGGCCAUGCAUCCAGGGAAGGUUUCUGAGAAGAAAGGCUACUUCCAGCUUGUUUGGGGUAAGGAAGAAAGUAGAGAUGAGUCAGGCUAGAGAAAGUGGCGAGGGGCAGGAAUGUGGAAAAGAAAGCUCUGUCUAUUCUUGUCCUUUCCCUGGGAGGUUGGGAUCAGGGAGGUGGGAGGUAGAUGAGCAGAAGGAGCAAAGAAGGCUGAGGCGAAAUGGAGAUAACAUCAGUGCUGACACCAUGGUCAGGGCUACUAUGGAUGGCUAGGGCUGGCAGGGAGCAGCUCCCCAGCUGUGGCUGGGAAGCGUUUCCUGUCUCUUUGCCAGGGGGGUCAUUAAUAAUCAUUUACCCGCCACAGGCAGCAUGAAGGCCAGCCAGGGAGCAGCAUGGUGCUGGGGCCAGAGCCCAGCCUAGCGGCCAGGCCAGCCGGGUAAUGGCAUCACCCCUGGCACCUUGCUGUGAGACCUGGACCAGUCACCUGACCUCUCUUGGUCUCAGAAUGCAGGCAUAAGGAGGUUCUGAUGAGGAUGCUGCCUUAAAUUCCUGCCCUGUACUGGACUUUAGUUUCCCUAGAUGGUAGCCAUUGGGCUGCCAGUGCUACAGAGCAAUUAUGGACAUCUAAUGACAGAUAGGACUCUCUGGCCUAUGGCAAGCUCAACUCAGCACACAAGCAAGGGGGACAGGGAGACCCAGGCUUAGCCUCUAAGAGCUGCCAACCUGGCAGGAGCCAGUCCCCAGUGGUGCACACAUGAGAGCCCCACAGAAUCAGGUAAGGUUAGGCUGGGGGAAACAUGGGAGGAAGAGGCCAGCUGCCUUAGGCCUGGAGUGCAGGCAGACAGUGUGGCUGUGCAUAGAGGGUGGGGGCUCCAUAGAAUCAAUUUGGUCACAGCUAUGACCUGGGUUCUUAGAACUGUGCCUGUUUGGCAGAGUGGGGGCUCCAAAAUGCUUUUAGACAAUUGCAUGAGUUAAAUGAGACAUUUGUGAAAGGACCUUAGAACUUGGAAAGAACUGCCUAAAAGAUGGUGAUGAUGAUGAUGAUGAUGAUGAUGAUGAUGAUGAUGAUGGUGGUGGUGGUGGUGGUGGUGGUGGUGGUGGUGGUGGUGGUGGUAAUGGUGAUGAUGAUGAUGUUAAUGGUAAUGAUGAUGUCGAUAAUCACGAUGACAAUGGAUGGUCUGGUCAAAGACCGUAGAUGAGAAAAGGUGACAUGAAAGCUUGAACAGGAUGGUGGCUCUGGGAUGGCCAUCCAAACUCAGAGUGUGCUACUUGGUAUCAAGAUCCCUUUUGCCCAUUAGCCAGAAUCUUUCUCAGCCCCAGGCUAUAUUAUUCCCCAGCACCCUUUAAGGCUCAGCUCACCUUCCAGAAGGUGACACUGAACCAUGGGCCCCACCACCUUGCCCUGAGCAACUCUGCCUGUCCCUGUGCCUCCAAUCCCAAGGAGUAUUGGACUUAUGCUCUCAAAUACCAGUUGGGAGGCUGCCCAGGAGGGUUUUCUCAUAUUUCCCACCUUCCUCUGGAGGGUGUGGCCUGGAUCCUCAACUACCUGGGAUCUCCUCAUCAGACCAUGGGGUCCCAGAGGUAUGACCAAGUUUCCUCUUUCAGAAAAGGAUCUCUGUGAGGCCAGGGACUAUUUUCCCUCCAUUAGAUGGGGAGUCAAGAAAAGUAGAGCUAGACUGAGAUCUUCCUGGUUGUCUCCCAGCCCAGUGAACCUCCCUGGGGGCCACAGCUACACAAAGAAGGGAAGAAGAGAAGGGAGCAUAGAAAAGAGGGCACUUGGCUGCUCAGCACCCCUGAGUAGAUAUGAGCAAGAAAAGGCCCUGGGCUACCCUGGGAUGAAGAGUGUGGGGUUGGUAGGCUUAGCCAAGUCGAAGCCCAGCCUCACUGCCUGCACUGGACCCUCCCUUCUCUGUGACCACACUGUGACCUUGCUGACACGUGCCUCCCUUCCCUGCCCUCUCCAAACCCUGGCCCAAACACAAAACAGGCUAAGAAGCAAAGAACAAAUGUUCCUGGACUACGACAUUGUCUGUCGCCCGCCUGUCCAGCGCCUGCUCAGCAGGAAACCCAGAACAAAGGCUUUGGUCAGAGUGAGGAGGAUAAAGGGCAAAGGCAGAGGCACACAUAAGGGGAAGAGAUGAUCCCAGAAAGAGACCCUAGAACAAAGAUAGAGACCCAGAGGAAUUGGAGAGACAAACAGGCCAAGAGAGGACUGCCACGAGCCCCAAACCCAGAAUGACUUGCCUGACAGCCCUCCCUGUGGUCUGACCCGAAUCCUACCCGGUGCACUGCAGGCCCCUCUCUACAACUCCCUCUCCCCAACCUUUGGAGGGUGACUCAGAGAGCCCCCAGCCUCCCAGCCUCCCCACCUCUCUCGGUGAUUCAUCUGGGUCUUUUCCCUCCGGGGAGCAAUUUCCUCAGCAUUGAGUCACCGAGCUGGACACAGUCCAGGCACCUGGCACAGGCUUGGCAGAGUCCUGGCUGUCCCUCUAGCCCAUGCUAGAAUUCUCACUUUUCUUUCAAAUACCUUCAGUGACUCCCUACCCUCAACACAAUAAAGACAUGCCUGUCUUCCACAACUCAACCCUGACUUGUUGAUUCCAGUUCUGACCCACCCCCACAUGGUGGCGCAUCCUCACUUUGGGCCUCUGCCCAUGCUACCCAAUCCAGAUGCCCUCUGCAUCCUUCCAGCCUGCUCAUCAUUUCAGAGCCAGCUAGAGGCCCACCUUCCCAGGAAGCUUCCCUGACACUGCCUUAGUUAUAGCCUUUUUCGUGUCCUUCCUGGAAACCACAUCUGGGGGCUUUGGGAGAGGUGGGGACUAAGUGAUUUGAGCUAAUUCAAUGAAUUUCAUAGCAUCUUCAAAAUAGGGCAAAUCAUCUUAUUUACUAAUACAGUUGAGAACAUUACGUGGGCAAAGAUAUGUAAAGACUCUGGCCUUGGCCAGGGAUUUAGCUCAGUGGUUUUGCCACCUGCUGCGCAAGCACAAGGACCUGAG